rnacentral:rRNA from 1 species
UGGGGAAUAUUGCACAAUGGGGGAAACCCUGAUGCAGCGACGCCGCGUGAGCGAAGAAGGUUUUCGAAUCGUAAAGCUCUGUCCUAUGGGAAGAUAAUGACGGUACCAUAGGAGGAAGCCCCGGCUAACUACGUGCCAGCAGCCGCGGUAAUACGUAGGGGGCAAGCGUUGUCCGGAAUCACUGGGCGUAAAGGGUUCGCAGGCGGAAAUGCAAGUCAGUUGUGAAAGGCAGAGGCUCAACCUCUGUAAGCAAUUGAAACUGUAUUUCUUGAGAUGUGGAGAGGCAAGUGGAAUUACUAGUGUAGCGGUGAAAUGCGUAGAUAUUAGGAAGAAUACCGGUGGCGAAGGCGACUUGCUGGACACAAACUGACGCUGAGGAACGAAAGCGUGGGUAGCAAACAGG